AAAAAAAAAAAAAAAAAAAAAGGAAAAGUUACCAUCCAGGGCAAAAGAGAAAGCUCAAAGUUUUAAAUUAAUGUCAUUUUUUUCCCCUGUCAUCUCUUCUUUCUCACCUGCUGCACGGUUUGACCCUUGGUCACAUAUUCAUUGCCAACCUUGACUCGGGGAUAGCAGAGGGCCUUGAGCAGGUCUGCUGAGUUCAGACCCAUCAGGUAGGCAGCCUUGUCAGCAACUGAGGAAACAGACAUACAGUGUGGUCAAGUAGUAGCUCUCCAGUAGAUGUAUCUGGUAGUAAUUCAGAAUAGUUUCUGCAGAACUCGCAUGUAAUUUGUCACAUAGUUUAAAAUACUAUAUUUUUUCUUGAUUUACUGUUUUUUUUUUCCCAUUUAAUUUAGAUGAUUUUUUAAAUGUAAAGAUUCUUCCAAAUGCCUUUACAAAGAACAUGCCAACUUUGAAACAAGUGACUAGACAAAGGGAAGGGCAAAGGGCCAUGAAAAUGGCAGGUCGAACAACCCACAAAUUCUGAAUUGGAAAAAAAGAAACUGGUUGGUACUGAAAUACGCUGUACUGAAGAUAGUGAAGUGUACAGAAAAAUAGUCAGUGAAACUCGACUGUCAUUAGAUUGAGAGAGAUAGAUUAGUGAAAUGUUAUGCCAAAAUUAUGAAAAGGAAAUUUCACCCAACUUUCAUACUGUUAUCACAUUGUCCCUAUGGACACGUAUCACACACAUAGGUCUUUUUCAGCUCUCUUUUUCUCUCAAUCUAGACUAUUAAAUACAAGCACUGGAGCACUGGAUAUACUCUCUUGUCACUUUCCAUUUCUUUUCACAGCAAUGAUGAUACAAAACACCAGUGCUAUUUACAAAAUCCUUUAAUGCGAGAAGGCCAGACUUUAUUAUAGAAUAUAUAUACAGAUGCUGAUUUUGAGCUGCUUCUAUUACGUGUGAUAUUUACAACUAAGUAUUUAAUGUACACUCAUCACUAAAAAAAGUAAGGCUUGAUUCGAGAAUGAAAAUGGAACUUACAUUUUAUUUAACUCUUUUACAGUUAUUUUUAAAUGUUGAAAUAGCAAUCUAAUUCUAUUAUACUCUUCUAUAAAUCUUUCCUUUGGAUAUAUUCAUGAAACGAUUACAACUAUUAUUUGUAGUUGGUUCUACUAUUAUUAUUUAUCAUUAUCAGAUUAGUCACUAUUGCACUACUUGCAGUCAUUUUCAUUUGUCUUAACUUUCCUGAAAAACUCCAGACCACACACACACACACAAAACUCAAGGAAAAAAAACUCCAAUGUUAACAGUAUGUGUUUAUGAUAUAUGCAAAUAACUCUAGUCUCAGGGAAGUAUUUCCACAAAUGCACCUUUGAACCAUAUUGGGCAAGGCAAACAUGAUAGACAUAUCUUAGAUGUCUAUUUUUCAAAAAAAAAGUCCUAGAGACUUGCCAAGACUCUACAGGAAAUGUAGAACAUAUAAACCACAGCUGCAGUAUUAACUGAUGUACCUUCUGUGCCGUCCGGCUCUGCCUGCUCCUCACGCUGCUUCUGCUUGAACUUCAGGUUGCCGUAGUGCAUGACGGCCCCGGUCAGCUUGUAAAUGGCUGUCUUCUCAUCAGGAGUGAAGCCCAGGAUGUCAAUGGCACUCUAACAAAAGAACCACUAGAUUGCAGGUUCCUAUCCCCAGGACCUCACCUGCAUUUUGCCUGAUGGCUGCUCCUCUUUCUUCUUCUCCCCACUGGCUGCAAUUGUUGCAAAGUACUGGAUGACACGCUUGGUGUUCACAGUCUUCCCUGCACCGGAUUCUCCGCUGUCAAAGCAAAGAGAGAAGCAGAGAGCGUGUGGUCAGGCAGGAGAUCCCCUGGCACCGGGCAGCCCCGCAGGGACCCAGCAGGGAGUGUACGUACGUGAUCAGGAUCGACUGGUUCUCGCGAUCUGUGAAUGAGACAGAAUGAAAGAUGGUGUUAGUGGUUGACCUGGGUAAUGCUGAGCUGGAUGAGAAGUGAAGCUGUAAUGGAAGUUGGGGCUUCUCUCAAGUCCAAGUAGUCCAAGACUGCCCAAUUCCUUUUUGGGCCCCAACAGUAGAAAGCAAAUGGAUGCAGAGGCAUGUGGUCUUCACAUGAGCUGCCCUUCACACAGCUCUUGUCAUGAAAUUUAAUGAAAGUGACUAUCUGUAUUCAAGAUAGAGGAUUAUAUGUAAUUAUAAUUCUUUCUGUCCCACCAAUAGAAAAAGGUAAGAAAGUCAAGUAGUAUUUUUACAGUGGGGGAGUGUAGAAUUUCCUACAAUUAAGUGCAAAUAAUACACACUGCUGGUCCACACAUGCUAUUGGGUCAGUUUUGCUUGAACUGAGUUCCUGCUUAACUUGAUCAAUUUCUUAAUCAUGCAGCUCCCUGGUGUUUUCAACUGGCUUGUCACAGGCCUUUUGGUUUAGAUUGCUGUGAAGCAGGUCAAGCACUCACCAGUCAACAUGAACUGAUAGGCGUUGUCAGAGAUGGAGAAGAUGUGUGGAGGGGCCUCCUGGCGCUUCUUGCCUCGGUAGGCCAACACCACCUCCGGGUUGUACACCGGCAGCCACUUGUAGGGGUUGACGGUGACGCAGAAGAGACCCGAGUAGGUCUAAAAAAGGGAGACAGGAUGCUGAUGUUGGAGAGCUGAGGAGAGUUACAGGUAAGGCAGAGGUGAAUCAGGUUCUGGGGAGACCAAGGUAGUGAAAGGAAAUGGAAGAAUCAGACAAUGGAUGAGAAAGGGCAUACAACAAGGAAAGGCAAAAGUGGGAAGGAAUGAGAGUAAGAGGAUUUAGAUAGCAAGAAGAAAACACUUGCAGGAAAGAAAGAAGAAAUAGAAAAAUGAGUGAAGAAGAAGACAAGGAUUGAAGAAGAUCUUCAGAGAGACUGAAAGGUGUCUUCACUAGUAAUUGUCUCCUUCUGCUGGUACUUACGUAGAUCAUCCAGGCUGCAUAACGCUCUUUGAGGUUGUACAGCACAGCAGGUUCGUGGAGGUGGGUCAUCAUGGCCAUGUCCUCAAUUUUAUCAUACUUGGGAGGGUUCAUGGAGAAGAUUUGAUCAUCCUUCACAGUAAGAGUCUGCCAAAGAAAAGAAGAUACAUAUUUGACAUCUAAAAGUCCACAGGAGGAUUAAAUUUUAUUCUCAAGCCUUUUACUCACUUCUCCACCUUCAGUCUUCACAGUGACCUUCCCUGCUUCCCUGCUCUGGAUUGUGCUUUUCACAUAGGAUUCCUUUGCAUGUACCACAAAGACAGAUGAUUUGGCAUCGAAAGGCUUGUUCUGGGCCUCGAUUCUCUCUUUUUCUGACUUUCGGAGGUAAGGAGCUGCCUCCCCAAAGAUCGCCAUCUCAGAGUCUGACGACAUGGCUGCUGUGUACUAGAGAUAAUGCAGCAAGUAUCUGUGAGGGUAGAAAAUACCUUAUAAUAGAGCAUGAUAGAAGAAAGACUCUUACAACACAGUGGAUUAGAUGGUGCUCUGCCGUAUGUGUCAACUGAUUGAGUUGACUCUUUCAUUAUUAUGCUAAUUAAGAGCUCUGUUCCAUAAUUUUAUUUCCUUUUCAUUAAUUUUUGGUAGUCAGAUCUCUAGGCCUGUUGGACGAUUGCAUUUACAGAGAAAUGCUUUUUGUUUUUCAUUUUCAUUUGUUGAAUUAACAGGAUAAACAGAUCCUUUCAAAAGCUCUAAACACUGCAUUCACUAGAUACUCCCAAUUUUGGAAUUGUGGAAGCCCUCUCAAGUAAUUUUUGUUUAGAACCUUUCGGAUUAUGAGAUUUGUUUACAAUAAAAUACUGGAAGAAGCACAGUACACUGCAUAUGCAGAGAUAAUAUUAUUAGCACUUCUCAUUAGAUGCAUUCCAUUAGGAUAAAACAGCCCAAGUUGUCAAACAUUUCAAUUAUUACACAGAUCCAUCUGCUAACAAACAAAGCUGAUGUUCUCUGCUUUGAUGUGUUUCAUAACAGAAAUCGAGUAAUCUUGCAUUCAUUCACUAGUAUUAAAAAAAAGUAUUAAAAAAAUUAUCAUUAACUCUGUUUAUUAUUGCCAAACUAUUUUCUUCACUGAAAAAUUUCAUGCAAUUGUGCUACUGGAAUUUAGGUAUAUUGUUCCAAAAUGAAUAAUGUUUCAAAUUUACAUUUUUUAUCCUAAUUUUAUCUCAUUUUUAUCACCUAGAAUUUGGAUUUUGAGCAGCUUUUCUCAAAAAAAUUAAGCAGAUCAUUUCUCUGUCAAUACAUUUACCUAUGGCAGACCUCUAGGUGAAAAUCAAAUAAUUGGUUAACUUUUCUUUGAGAAACAGUUUCACUCUGAUUUCAGGAAAGGUAUUUGAACUUUAAGCUCUUUUUCGAACCCUUUAUCAUUUAGCAGCCUCAUCAUUGCAAUAUUGCCAGCUUAACGUAAAGAAUAUUUUAAUAACACGGUAUUUUUGUACAUUGUAAAACUCAUUUUACCCAGUAUUCCCCUACUUAACCAUGAAAAAUAUUAUUUUGUGUUCUUAGCCGUCAAAGACAGAUUUGCACAACUUAUUGUUAUCAAUUCAAAUACGUGGGUACAAUCUCCUGACUGAUCAUUUUGUUUCUAACUACAUGAUUUUCCAUUUCAUUAAAGUGUUAUUAAUCAAAUGAGACCAUUUCACAAAAUAAUUAAAUAAGGCUCUAAAAUGUACCCAGUCUUUCACCAGCAGUUUUAUCAUUGCCUAUAAUAUCUCACAUUUUUUACAAGAUUCCUAACAGGAAUAAUACUAUAUAUAUUAGUGCAUACUAUGCUAGUAUGUAUUAUGUAAGUAUAUAUUAUAGUAUAUUAGUGUAUGUUAUGUAUAUUGCAUAUAUAUAUUGUAUAUAGUAUUUUGUAUAGAUAUUGUAUGCUAUUAUUAUUAUUAGAAUGUACCUUUAUGGUAUUAUUACAAUGCAUAUUAUACAUAGCAUGUUAGUAUACAUUAUGUGAGCAUAUUUUAUAUAAAAAUACAUUUUAAUAUUAUAUUGUUUAUAUUAUAUAUAUAAUAUUUAUGUCUAUAUAUAUUUAUAUGCCAGUAGUUUCCCUUUUUAAAGUAUUGGGUGACUAUUUUCAUUUGCCUGUUUUAUAUGAUUUUUCUACUGAAAUCAGUGCUAUGCUAACUCUCCUCCACUUAUUCAAAGCAUGCUAGUUAUAUCCUUUACACAUGAUAGCUUGUUGACAGUUUAUAAUUUUGAGGGAUAUAUUGCAGUGAAAAUAUUUGACAAAAUUAAUAGAAAUUAAAGUAAAAAAGUAAGUAUGAACAGUUAAUUUUCCUGUGUGCAAGUAUUUUAAAUUUUGAAUUUAGUUGCUGUUUCGUCUCUGUUUUUCUAGUUAUCUGAAUACGUAUCAUACUGUAUCAUUUCCCUGUGAUUCUUAAUAUUUUCUUAUGUAAUUAUAUUACAAUUGUGCAAUAUUUUCAUAACAUGAGCAAGCUUAUAAGGAAGGUCAGACUGAAAUGCCUUCUGUUAGCACUUUGAUGUUUUGAUACACAACAUUCUAGCCCCAUUCCCCAAGCUUCCCUGUGAAAAAAAUCAUUAAUGCUAUUUAAAUACAAUGUCUUUUCCCAUUGCUUCACAGCUAGUGCCAAUGACUCUUGAUAUUUAAACAAAAAUGUAAAAAAAAAGAAAUUGUUUGCCUCAGGAAUAUAUGUAAUUUAUGGACAAGUAACUGGAAACUACUUCCUGAUGAGGCUUCUCUUCUUAAAACCGUUUCUUCUAAGCUUAGGAUCUAAUGUCUGAUAAUGUAGGAAACCGCUCUUUGUGGAAGAAUCCUGGGGAGAAUGUGGGUGAUGCAGCAGUGGUCAGUACUUUUAAGACCUCUGUCUUUGAGAAUCUCGUGGCAAAGAUAUCGGCAACCCAGUCCAACUCCUGUACAGUAUUUUUAAAAUGUACAUAAAUAAAAGGAAUACAGGGAUUGCCAACACACCUAUAUAGAAGUCCUACCUUAGAGCAUCUCUAUCUCUUCCUAAAGAGUGAAUAAAUCAAGAUCUUACCUUUUUUUGAGAAAAGAUGAAUGACUCACAGACUGGAAGCUGGUCAGUGCUGCAAAACACAGUUAGCAACUUCCUUCUUACUGCUGCACAGAAUUCCAGAGCAAAUUUAGAGACAUAAAACAUAUGGAUGCCUCAAAAGCAGACUGAAAAUCCCAGCUGACACUGGCAGUCGCCCACUGAAUAAAUGUGAGCUUCUGUAGGAAUGCACUGGUGCUUGUGGAAUGCAGGGCCAGUUUCCCUUCAUCCCCCAGCUCCCUGUCCAAAACCUCUGACACACUUACCUUACAGAUUUCUGAGGAAGGACAAGACACACUGAUCCCAAGGCACUUUUAUAGUGUCUGAUCUGCAUAUGGAGCCACCACCUCCUCUUCCUUAGGUCAAAACAUUUUUGGCAAUCUCAACUUCUAUCAGAAUUGCCACUCAUACUAGAAGUGAAUGGAUAUAAUUAGACAUAACAGAUCUGUGAAUCAAUGUCCUAUAAAUAAUUUGACAAGAGAACCUGAGAAGAGGGGGAAGCAGGAGGGUGUGAUAAAGGAGAUGAAAGGGGCUACAUCAGUACUGUAAUCCAUUGGAUGCUGACUUGAGCAGAGAAAGUGAAGACUAAGAGCCAGUAUAUUGUAAUGAGAAAACAUGUAGGGAUGGAGAGGCGAAGGCACAGGCUCCUGCGUGCUGCAAAUGCUCUGCGUCUGCAAUCUGAAAAAGCAUGAGGGGUUCUACUGAAAUGUGGGUCAGAAGAAGGAAAUCCCAGUGCAAUAGGAAGCAUAUUAGUAGGAACAGAACUCACAGGAACGAGAAUCAAGGGAUAAUAUGAAUGACCAAGUAGUAAAAUGGACCAAAGGUAAGGCAAGGAAAGGGGAAAGGAUGAGUCUGAAGGUAGUGAUAAGGAAGGAAAUGUGGUUAAGGAAGAGGAAGUAUAUAGAGGUGUGAUUCAAAGGGGAUAACAAUAAGUCACCAUGGGCACAAGGACCAAUAAAAGAGCAAAACAAGGUAAGUCUAGAGUUGGAGAUAGAAGCCUCUAAGACCAGUCACUGAAUUAGAUCCCAGAGGAAAGCCAUAGAAGUUCAACUCUUGUUUCUGGGGCUGAAGUGUUUCAAAGAUCAUAGGAACAGGACGAUGGAAAUGUUGAACAGAAUUUAAGGCAUAUAUCCCCCUGGAGGCAGGAGAAAUAAGUGCUGCCUCAACAAAUAGGAGUCAUUCAGCACUGCUUUUGCAGGAUAAGUUUGCUAGAUGAAGGAAAGGAUUAAUAAAUGUAAUUUUUCUGGAAGAGAAACAGAGAAACAGUGAUGUCUUAUGGUAGUCUGGAAGAGAGGCAGUUAUUGUCAGAAGGAGCUGCUAGUAUGUGAAAAAAGCCCAUCUACUGUGCUGUUCCCUGGGAUGUUCCCCAACCAGAUGAAGGAGGAGGUUACCCAUGUUCUGCAACAGCACAAGGAGGGAAGUGGUGAAGAGGGCAGUGGAACGCCUGUGCUUUAUUGGGAAACAAUUUCAUCCUCAUGCAACAGAUCUUGAUUUUUAUUUUAUUUUUUUUGGUCAUGUGUUGGCCUUCAUUUUCCAAACUACAGUUCCUAUGACAAAAAAAGGCCAUCUGAACUGCAUCACAUAUCAGCAGCUUCACCUGUUCCCAUAGUGUACUGCCUCCUCACUUACAGCACCUGCUGUGCUCCACUCCCUCUUAGCAUCACCUACUCAGUGGUCUGCAGAAAGUGAGGAAAUUCCUUCCUCCUCUUCUCUCAGAUGACUGUGUUUCUGUGAUGGCACUGUAAUCCUGGGGGUGGGGAGGGAAUCAGCAGAGGUUAGCUUCACAUUUGGAGUAAAUUCACGGUGAGGAAUAAGUCUGAAGCCUAUGGCUUAAUCCUAACAGCUAGAUCCUCACCUGAGUAUAAAACAGCACUUCUUUCAUGCCUUUAAUGCAAUUCCAUUGUCUGAAAACUGGAAUUCACUCUGAAUUUCAGGUAUUUUAAUGACUCUCUAUGUUGUCUCAUCUUGCUCGUGCAUGCAGUUUUGACCUGGAUUAAAACUGGCUACAAAA